CCUUACAGCUUUUCUUAGAUGCCUCAGGCUGGACAGAAGGGAUUCCUGGCCUGCUGGGUACCUGUCCUUUUAGAAUCUUACCAUCAUCCUGAGGAUUCCAUUUGCUUCUGUUGCAUUGGAUCCUCUAUUUCUUGGAUUCCUUAUUGUUCUCCUUGAUUUACUCCAUCGAUUUGGCAGGACAUAUCCUGUAGUGGUUUCCCGAGAAAGAGCGUGUUAUAGAUUGUCUCCUUUGGUUCUUAAGCCUUGAGACUCAGACUGAAUCACACCACCGGCUUUUCUGGGUCUGCAGCUUGCAGAUAGCAGACUGUGGGACUUCUCAGUCUAUAAUCAUGAAGAUGUUAAGCAAUUUAUUUGAUGUCCUUCAAAAACUAUCUUUAUAAUGAAACAAGAGAAACCAUGAUUAACUAUCAAAUUCAACUUGCUGCACAGCAUAACAAAACUACAGUGGAAUAAAGAAUACGGAGAAUUUUGAGUCAUGUCUUGUACAAUUGAAAUUUAAGAGCAAGGUUGCUUCUGUACCCCUAUACAGACUUGGCGCUGUGCCUCCACACUAGCUGCCAGAAAGAUGACAAAUGACAAUCAAAGAAAUCACCAGGAGACAAUGGCCUC
rnacentral:lncRNA from 1 species